GUCAAGCACAUUCCGAAUCAUCAACAAAUUACGAAAUCGCUUCCGUAUGAAGCUCUCUCAUCUCUUUCAGGCAAACUUGGUGUCGAUUUAUCUGGUCUAAGCCGAUCAGCAGCUACACCAAACAUGCCCAUCACGACUGCCUCCUCUCAGCCAAAGCCCACCUAGAAGCCCAAAAUCCAGCUUGCAACUAAAGAGCUCCAACGGUCAUCUUCAACCUAUGAACAAAGCAAAAACAAACUACAGCUGGACAAGCACAGCCUGUCACAACUGACAACCGGGGUUCGCGGACUUGAAGGAUAACGACGAACAAGACUAAAACCUAAGAGAUUACCUCAGCUAUAUAUGUAGUACCUUGAUGUAAUGAAACCUUAAGAGAGUAAUAUCAAGGAGUAAAGACUCACCUUUCUUCACUUUUACACUACUUUCACUUUUUUACUGAUAAAGCAAAAGUCAAUGACUCAUCUUCAUUGUCUCUUGAAGGUUUAGUAAGUAAUGUAUCUACGUUCUUUAUCAUGAGCAACUGAUGGUUACUCAAAUCUUCUUGUGCUUCUUCUGAUUCAUCUUCACUUUUUUGCCAUAGACUGACCUUCUGAUCUUCUCUCUAAGCAGAUCUUUGUAGACUUAAAUCCUCUCUAAAACAUUGCACUAUUCCUGUUAAUCGCACACUUCUUGUCUUCUAUCAACUACAUUUUAUACCCUUUUACACAAUAGGGAUACCUGAUAAAAACACCUUUCAUGCUCUCGGUUUGAGCUAUCUUUGAUAAAUGUGACGAUAAACCACUGAACCAAAUCUUCUGAGAUGAGAUUAUCCAUGUUCUUUUCCCAGCCAUAUUGGGAAGGCAACAAGUCGUAACCAAGAAUACAAGAAGUUAGAACAAGAAAGCGUAAACAAAGAGUAAAAAGAAAAUGUAAGGAAACACUCAGAGAAUAUAAAUAAAUAAAAGCUUAUAAGUCAAACUGUAUAUAAAAUAAACUAUCCGAUCAAUUUGACUCGGAUACUUUGUAUAAUGUACAUAACAAUCUUUCAUUCCUGUUUUUUUUUUUUUUAAAUAAUGCACACUCAAACC